UAUAGCCCACCGUCGGAAAGCAUAUGAUAAAUUCUUCGUGACGAAACUAAGUCCUAACAAUCAAACGGUUAACGGAAAAUCUAAACUGUUCGAAAAUUCACCAAGUUCAAUACGCUCCACAAUUCACUUUAAGCCCGCAACGUUUUAACCAUAAUACGCGGCAUGUAAGGAAAAAUUCGUAACCAAGCUUCUAGAGCUAUACGAAACAUCCUAAAAAAUCCACGAAAUAGAUCUCGGAAGGCCAACUCUUCACAAAGCACCAUGAAGGAAAACGCUUGUACCCAUGGACAAAUUUCGACGACACCUCAGUCAUAAUUCCUCUAUCGCAAAU
rnacentral:lncRNA from 1 species